rnacentral:rRNA from 1 species
UACGAAGGGUGCAAACGUUGCUCGGAAUUAUUGGGCGUAAAGCGCACGUAGGCGGCUUUGUAAGUUGGAUGUGAAAUCCCUCGGCUCAACCAAGGAAGUGCAUUCAAAACUGCAAAGCUUGAGUACUUAAGAGGAUCGCGGAAUUCCCGGUGUAGAGGUGAAAUUCGUAGAUAUGGGGUGGAACACCGGUGGCGAAGGCGGCCAUCUGGACGACAACUGACGCUGAGACGCGAAAGCGUGGGGAGCAAACAGG